GUUACCGACCCCGCGCCGCCCGCGGCCCGCGCGCCCCUUCCCGGACAGUUCCUCUCGGCGCCCCCGAGUCCUCCCCGCGCGCCGCUUCCCGGGUGGGCCCUUCCACCAGAACCCCCUGGUAGAUCCUCCCCUGGUGCCCUGGGGGUAGAGGGGAGAUCCUCCACAAGGGCCAUUUCCCUGGUGAUCCCUCCCUGUGCCCCACAGGUGAGUCCUGCCGUAGCUCUCCAGGGGUUCCUCCUGAUGCUGGGGUCCUCCGGCAUUCCUCCCUGAGCCCCCCAAGGGCCCUGAAGCUCAGCGGCCCAGCCCUGGCCUCGGGGUCCCCACCCCACACCUCCCUUCCAGGCCUAACCUUUGCCCCCGACACCAGGCAGGGCGUGUCCUUGGCCUUCGCCGCCCAGCCCGCGUGGCAUCUCUGGACAGGUGGUCGUGCGCGCCUUGGUGUGGGCAGGCUCCGUAGCCGGCAAAGCCUCCCUGAACCGUGACCUGGUGAGAAGGCCGCAGAGGAGGUGCCUGUGCCCAGAGGCCACCUCCAAAGACCCCACCUGAGGCUGGAACCCAGCGCCUGCUGACCCCGCCAGCCCCAACAGGGCUGGAGUCCAGGAGCGGCCGUGCUCUUUCCGCAGUGAGGCAGCUGCCUUCUCUUCCCACCACCUGUCAGGAUGCCUUCCCGUGUGUGCUUGUGCACAGGUCUAAGGAGAGGAGAGUCCAGUGAGUGACCCAGACGCCCCAGCCAGGAAGAGCAUGAGGAAAGCAAAGCUGCAGCCUGAGAUCUCCUUCCACCAACUCCUGGCAUGGCCAGAAAGUUAGCCAGAAACACCAGAAAGUGCCAGGCAGCUAGGAAGCAUGGGGAGAGCCCCCUGAAGCUGCGUGUGUAGUGCCUGCUUCCGCUGCCAUCCCAGAAAUGGACGAGCUUCACCCUGAGAACCCAGCCACACCACUGGGACACAUCCUGACAGUGACAUGCACACUCUUCCCUGGCCCCAGCCUGGAGAGGAGCCUCCUGAAGACACCAGCCUUUGCUCCUUCUCCCAGUGGGAGUGGAGAGAACUGACUGCUGGAGUGGAGACAGUCAAGGCUGUCCUUCUGAGGGAGCACAGCACAGGGUCUGGUGUCCCAGGGAGGCAAUCUGAAAUUCAAGCCAGGCCUCCCCAGCGGAGAGGACACACCCCUCACCAUGCAGAGUGACGUUUAGUAAACUCUCAAAAGAGAGCACAGAGCCCCACUCCUCCAGCCGACCCAUACUCUGCCUCCCCACUCCAGACCAGUGAACAAGGUGGAUUGCCCUUAAGCCAGCUCAGAGGCAAAGUCCAAAGACCUCAGGUGAGUCAAACAAUAAAAACAAAGAAUUAAGAAGAAUCCAGCUGGGUGCGGUGGCUCACGCCUGUAAUCCCAGCACUUUGGGAGGCUGAGGCGGGAGGAUCACGAGCAGGAGGUCGAGACCAUCCUGGCUAACACGGUGAAACCCCGUCUCUACUAAAAAUAGAAAAAAUUAGCUGGGCGUGGUGGCGGGCGCCUGUAGUCCCAGCUACUCCGGAGGCUGAGGCAGAAGAAUGGCGUGAACCCAGGAAGCGGAGCUUGCAGUGAGCCGAGAUCAUGCCACUGCACUCCAGCCUGGGCGACAGAGCGAGACUCCGUCUCCAAAAAAAAAAAAAAAAAAAAAAUCCAUCCACUCCAUCCACUUAGUAGCAGAGCGAAUAGACAUUCAGGAAAGAGCUUUCACGUCAGAAAGCACUACAGAAGUAGUGGCAUAUCCCCGGAGGCUGAGGUGGGAGCAUUGCUGAGAGGUGGCACGUGACCACAUCCAUGUCAUUCAACAACAGAAAAACAAGUCAUCGAGGGUGUGAGGGGCCGGUGAGAAACCCAGUAUGGAAGAAAACACAACUGGGCUGAGCGUGGUGGCUCACGCCUGUAAUCCCAGCACUUUGGGAGGCCAAGGCAGGAGGAUCACCUGAGGUCAGGAGUUCGAGACCAGCCUGGUCAACAUAGUGAAACCUCAUCUCUACUAAAAAUACAAAAAAAUUAACUGGGUGUGGUAGCGCGUGCCUGUAGUCCCAGCUACUCCGGAGGCUGAGGCAGGAGAAUUGCAUGAACCCAGGAGCCGAGACCACACCACUGCACUCCAGCCUGGGGGCGGCACAGUGAGACUCCGUCUCAAAGAAACAAAAAUAAAAAAUAAAUAAAUAAAUAAAUAAAUAAAUAAGAAAACGCAACCAAAGAAACAGAAGAGGACUCCACAGGACUUCUUUCAGAGCUUCAUAGCAGCAUGAAUUCAACAAUCAGGAAUUCAAAUGCUUGACGACAAAACAGCAGGAUGGGAGGAAGAGUUAAGAGCCAAGCAAACCGGAAGCACCAAAAUCGCACCGUGGCUGGAUCAAGUCAUAAACAGCAAAGGGCAGAAUAUCAAGUUACUUGGAGAUGAAAGGCUUGAGAUAAUUUCAGAGCAAGACAAAGUGAUUAACACAAUAAUUUACUCAUUGAUUAUUUGUUAAACAUCUACUUCAAGCUACAGGCCACUCUAGGCCUUGGAGGGUAAGGAAACAGCACCUUUGCCCUCAGAGGGUUUGCAAUCUAGCAGGGAGGGGAACAUAAUAAAGUGUAUAAAACCAGGGCUCUGGCUCUGAAGUUCCAGCACUUUGGGCAGGUCACUUGAACCCAGGAGUUUGAGACCAGCCUGGGCAACAUAGUGAAAACCCAUCUCUACUGAAAAAUAUAAAAAUUAGCGGGGCGUGGUGGUGCAUGCCUGUAGUCCCUGCUACUUGAGAGGCUGAGGCAGGAGGAUAGCUUAGGCCUGAGAGGCAUAGUUCGCAGUGAGCCGAGAUAGCACCUCUGCACUGCGGCGUGGGUGGCAGAGCAAGACCCUGUCUAACAACAACAACAAAAACUGAUCUUAAGUCCAGCCAGUAAAGAUGUAAAUCAAAACAAAGACUUUCAGUGGGUCAAAUACUGGCGGUGAGCCUUGAUCUUCUGGUAAGAAAUGCCCUGCCAGGGGAUAUGGAAAUGUCAGUGCCAGUUCCUCACCAUUCACAGGCAGAAGUCAGCCGGUGCCGCCUCAGCCGAACCGUGCUUUGCUGCUGUAAACCAAACACACUCAUCUCUUGAUGUUUUUGUAAUUUCUAAAAAUAAUCGUAGAAGACUUUUUUUUUUUUUUUUUUGGAGACAGGGUCUCACUCUGUCACCCAGGCUCAAGUGCAGUGGGCCUAUCUCGGCUCACUGCAGCCUCGACUUCCUGAGCUCAAGCGAUCCUCCCACCUCAGCCUCCCAAGUAGCUGGGACUACAGGAGAGCACCACCACGCCCGGCUGAUUUUUGUAUCUUCAGUAUGGAUGGAGCUUCCCUUUGUUGCCCAGGCUGUUCUCCAACUCCUGAGCUCAAGCGAUCUGCCUGCCUUGGCUUCCCAAAGUGCCGGGAUUACAGGCCUGAGCCACGGCGCCCGGCCAUCGUAAGGAGACUUUUAAACUUGAGGUGAAGAAGCAUUCAUCUGCUUUUAGCAAUUUUUUUCUUUAAAUAUUUAAAAGUCUAUAAGUAGCAACUCGACACGUAUUUCUGUAUUUCCAUUACAUCCUUUUAUCUCCCCAUAUACAUUUAGAAAUAUCUGGGAUAACCUUUAGGUAAUGUUAACAGCUGUUAUUCCAGGGAGGACACUGGGCGCGUUUUUAAAGCUGUAUUCGUUGCUGUAUUAAUAGCAAGCGGUGUUUCUGCAAAGCCAAGGAAGGCGUUUCUCCAGCGGGGCCGCGUCGGGCAUUGUCUGGUGCGCCGGGGAAGGCCGCGAACUACAUCUCCCAGGCGCCCCGCGCCCCGUUCCGCGCCCCGCGCCCCCGCCCGCGCGGCUCCUGCUGUGGUGCCGGAGCGUCCUCGGCUCGGUCCGGAGCCAGCCGGAGUCACAAUUCGAAUCGGGCGUGGGAAGCCCGGGGGACCACGCGGCCAACCCUGGGCGGACCUGCGCGCCGGAGACCGCGUCCCCGGGAGCCCCCAAACGCUACCCCGCGCGGCCGCCCGUGGCGCUGCGGAGGCCUGCGGGUGGGGAGGCGCAGUGGCGGCCGGGGCGACGGCCUAAGCACCACACUACUGCUGCGAGACUUCGGGGGAUCCCCACUCCCCUCCCAGGAUCCUUCCCACUCCCCUCCCAGGAUCCUUCCCACUCCCCUCCCAGGAUCCUUCCCACUCCCCUCCCAGGAUCCUUCCCACUCCCCUCCCAGGAUCCUUCCCACUCCCGAGACUGCUUCUUCUGUCCCCUUGAUUCCACGCGCCUCAGAGACCCUCCCUCUGCCGUCCCGCGAAGAGCGCGCCCCUCCCCUUGCAAGGCACCAGUGGAACACUCAUGUAACCCCAGCUACUCAGGAGGCCGAGGCAAGAGGAUUGCUUGGGUCAAGGAGUUCAAGACCAGCCUGAGCAACAUACCAAGACUGUUUCUCUAUAAAAACUUACAAAAAAAAAAAUAAAGGCCGGGUGUGGUGGGAUGCACCUGCAGUCCCAGCUACCCAGGAGGCCAAAGUCGGGGGAUCACUUGAGUCCAAUAGUUCAAGACCAGCCUGGGCAACAUAGCAAGCCUGCCCCCCGCUCCGCCCCAACCACCAAAAAAAGAAAAAAGAAAAAGAAACCAAACCUACUGAAUUUGUGGCAAUUUUUAUGGCAGCUACAGAAAACUAGUACACAAAUCCCAGUUGUGACAACCUAAGCGGUCUCCAG
rnacentral:lncRNA from 1 species